rnacentral:rRNA from 1 species
GUGUGUAAGCGUAGCGAUACGUUGAGCUAACCAGUACUAAUGAACCGUGAGGCUUAACCUGACAACACCGAAAGUGUUUUG